AUUCUAUACUAGCUAAACCAUUUGAAGAAAAAUAUCGUUUUACAUAAUUUAACAUAGUAUCAGAGAGUUUGAGCUCCGCCAGACUCUUAGUCUCAUUUCAUUUUCUUCUAUUUAAUUUAAAUCCAUGUCCUGAGUCUAUCAAAAUCACUGUUCUCUGAUAACUUAAGUUUUUAGAGUAUAACGGUUGUUUCAUAUUCUUUAACAGUAACACUUUAUCAAAUUUACUGAGAUUUUGAUAAUAUUUUGUAUUAUUGUAUCUUCCACACUUUCUAAUAUUUCAAU
rnacentral:lncRNA from 1 species